rnacentral:rRNA from 1 species
GUCCACGCCGUAAACGAUGUCAACUAGCCGUUGGGAGCCUUGAGCUCUUAGUGGCGCAGCUAACGCAUUAAGUUGACCGCCUGGGAGUACGGCCGCAAGGUUAAACUCAAAUGAAUUGACGGGGCCCGCACAAGCGGUGGAGCAUGUGGUUUAAUUCGAAGCAACGCGAAGAACCUUACCAGGCCUUGACAUCCAAUGAACUUUCUAGAGAUAGAUUGGUGCCUUCGGGAACAUUGAGACAGGUGCUGCAUGGCUGUCGU